rnacentral:rRNA from 1 species
GACGAACGCUGGCGGCGUGCCUAAUACAUGCAAGUCGAACGCAGUGGGGACGGGUGAGUAACACGUGGGUAACCUCCCAUCAGAGGGGAUAACACUUGGAAACAGGUGCUAAACCGAUACUGAUGGAUGGACCCGCGGUGCAUUAGCUAGUGGGUGAGGUAACGGCUCACCAAGGCCACGAUGCAUAGCCGACCUGGAAGGGUGAUCGGCCACACUGGAACUGGGACACGGCCCCGCCUCCUACGGAAGCCAGCAGUAGGAAAUCUUCGGCAAUGGGCGAAAGUCUAACCUAUCACCGCCGCGUGAGGGAAGAAGGUUUUCGGAUCGUAAAACUCUGUUGUUAGGGAAGCGGUAUCUAACCAGAAAGCCACGGCUAACUACGUGCCAGCAGCCGCGGUAAUAC